GACGAACGCUGGCGGCGUGCUUAACACAUGCAAGUCGAACGGACAGGCCCUGCUUUUGUGGGGUGCUCGAGUGGCGAACGGGUGAGUGACACGUGAGUAUCCUGCACUUGACUUUGGGGUAACUUCAGGAAACUGGGGCUCAUACCGGGUAGGAGCUCCUGCUGCAUGGGGGGGGUUGGAGAGUUUCGGCGGUUGGGGAUGGACUCGCGGCUUAUCGGCUUGUUGGUGGGGUAGGUGCUUACGAAGCCUUUGACGGGUAGCCCGCCUGAGAGGGGGACCGGCCACAAGGGGACUGAGAGACGGCGCAGAAGGCUACGGGAGGCAGCGGUGGGGAAUAUUGCACAAUGGGGGGAAGCCUGAUACGGCAACGCCGCGUGCGGGAUGACGGCCUUCGGGGUGUAAACCGCUUUCGCCUGUGACGAAGCGUGAGUGACGGUAACGGGUAAAGAAGCACCGGCUAACUACGUG
rnacentral:rRNA from 1 species